CCACUCUAGGAGGAGACAGAUAGUGACAAAGCAACCUAGCAGACUUAUUAAUGCUAACUGUUCGAUUGGUCUUUUUUCCACUAGAAAUUAUUGCAGAUCAAGCAUCCAACAGGUUUACAUGAGAUGGAGGUUAUGUCAUCAAAAUAACAUUUCUCAUUAUCUUUGUGAUGUUUCCAUUAAUGAGAAGGAUCCUUGAGGUCAGUUCAUCUUGGUGGAGAAGGGAAUAUAAUCUAAUAUAAAGAGAUAAUAAACUG